GUAUGUCAGAGAGGGUAUACAGUCCAAUACGAUUGAGAAUUUAAGAGAAUUAGAUUCGCUUCUGGAAAUGCUAUGGGUCGAAAUAGUCAGCCCAAAAGGAAGCUUAACUCUGGGAGUUUGUUAUCGUCUACCAGACUAAAAGACAGAGGAUGAUUAUUAAAUGACCAAAUAAUUAAAGAUAGCAGCUAGAUGAAAUGACUGUGUCGUAACAGGUGAUUUUAACUACCCACACAUUGAUUGGGUCAAUAUGUGUUCAAGUUGGAAAAAAGAGAUUGAGUUUCUAGACACUCUUAAUGACUGUGCUAUGGAGAAGAUGGUCACAAAACCUACCAGGGGAGAGGUGAUCCUGGACUCAGUUCUAAGUAAUGCCCAAGACCUGGUGAGAUAUUUGCCCAAAAAGACCAACACAACUACUUUUAACUUUAAAAGAGGUAACUUCUCUGAGAUGAGAAAGCAUGUGAAGAGGAAACUGAAAGGAAAGGUAAAAAGGGUCAAAACCAUUAGGGAAGCUUGGAGACUAUUUAAAACUACAGUCCUAGAAGUUCAAAUAAAAUAUAUAGUGCAAGUUAGGAAAGGCAUAGAUAGGUAUAGAAAAAGGCCUGCAUGG